CAUUACGAAGCUUAGAGCGUUAACCUUUUAAGUUAAAGUUAGAGAUAGUUAGUCUCCGUAGUGA
rnacentral:tRNA from 1 species